AAAUAGGUCUUUUUUAAUUUGAAAAAGACCACCAUUCAGAUAAAAAAAAAGACUG
rfam:Cricetulus griseus cell line CHO-K1, whole genome shotgun sequence.